UUUCACCAUGUUGCCUGGUUCUCAAACUCCUAGGCUCGAGUAAUCCACCCACCUUCGCUCCCAAAGUGGUGGGAUUACAGAUGUGAGCCACCACAACCAGCCCAUAUAUACAUAUGUAACAUAUACAUACACAUAUAUCUAUGCACACAAAUUAACAUAAUAUGUAUAUAUGUGCAUAAAUUAACAUUUUCUAUAUAAAGAUGGCAAGAGAGGCAGGCAGAGAAAGAAUCAGUUGCAGUCUGGAGGAAUAUACGUGUGUUAAUUGGUUUCUCUGGCUUUAAAUUCUCUGUUAAUCUAUAUUCCUGUAAAGUAGAUGAUAGCAUGUAUCUUGGCCUAUAUGUUUCUAAAGACAAACCUCUAAGCUCUUAAAGUUCUGCCAUGGUGUGUGUCAUGGUACAUUUAAGUCAGAAAGCCCAUUAGAGGAGGAGGAUGCCUGGCUAGAAUAGCUAGAAUAGUGUUCUUGAGUUUUUCCAUGUGUGUUGUCUCAGGUAGGAAGAUGACAAGUCCUAUUUUGUUCUUGUGUGAUUCCUCAUCAUUCAGUCCCUGCAGGCUGAGCUUGUUAAUGGUGGUGAACAUGAGUUUUGUUCUUUGCCAGGAGUGCCCACCAGUGCCCAUAACGCCCUCCCGGAAUGUGCUGGGCAGUGUGUUUAGGGUAAGACUGACUAAUGACCCUACACUGAGAAUGGCCUCAGCACAAACCCAAAAGGCUCUGCUGGAGCUCAGAGGCAGCCACGAGAUUUGGAGAGCUGGAUGACGGUUCACUAAGAGAAUUCAAGCUGUCAGUCCUCCUGCGUACCCUUUGGAUUCUAUUCUGAUGCUGUUGCUUGUAGAGGGAAAAAGUUCAUGUGCCAUUUAUAUACAAGUGCCCAUUUGACAUUGAGUGAGUCACAUUUAUUUUGCCCUAUAUGAAUAUAAAAUCUGUUUUAAAAUCGGAUUCUAGAACUUUAAAAGGGUUCUUAUGUAUUUUUCUGAAGUAACUCAGUGACCAUAGGUGAGCCCGCCCCACCUGGCCUGGUGGGUGACCCUUUUCCUGCCCCCUCACCGGUUCUGCUCCUUGCUCCUCUCUCUGCGCCUUGGCUCCCCUUUCCGGAACCCUUCCUCUUGGCCUUGCCAAAUCCUGCCCAUCCUUUGAGAACCUCUUAUGCCCAUGGCUGUCUUACCCCUUCCUGCUUUGCUGUGGUAUCCGUUGGUCUGUUCUCGUGCUGCUAAUAAAGACAUACAGGAGACUGGGUAAUUUAUAAAGGAAAGAGGUUUAAUGGACUCACACUUCCACAUGGCUGGGGGGGCCUCACAAUCAUGGUGGAAGAUGAAGGAAGAGCAAAGGGACUUUUUACAUGGCGGCAGGAAAGAGAGCUUGUGCGGGGGAACUCCCAUUUAUAAAACCAUCAUAUCUCAUGAGACUUACUCACUACCAUGGGAACAGUAUGGGGGAACCACCCCCAUGAUUCAAUUAUCUCUACCUGGCCCCGCCCUUGACACGUGGGGAUUAUUACAAUUCAAGGUGAGAUUUGGGGACACAGAUUUGGGCUGUGGGGACACAGCCAAUCGAUACCUGGCAUAUGCAAUCUGAUCACCCCUUCCAAACUUCUCUCUUAAAAAUGCAACACUCUGACAGCAUGUGGAGGCUUGGAUGGAAACAUGGUAAAAAUUAAGAUGUUGUUUCUCACACUUUCGCACCAAAGUGAUACAAAUCCCAGAGCUGAGGCAACUAGUGUUUCUGCCAGAAUGGAAGGUCCUUGACAUUUUCUGUUGUUUUUAAAUAUUUGCAACUAUUUAUUGUUCUUCCGUAAAAACCAGAAUUUGUGGUUGUGUAUAUAAAAGUAAUGUUCUAAAGUG